rnacentral:misc_RNA from 1 species
AGAAGAAGGUCAAGAGUAGCUGAUACAAGGAGAGGAAGUCGCCGCUUGAGUUAUGAUAAUUCGAAUUCUGAUGAGGGUUCUGUGACAUCUGUGGAAUUUGCUGAGUAUAGACUAGAUGAGACUGAUGAUGAGUUUGCUAGUGCAAGUGGCCCCUCUAGGGGUAGCUCUGGUCAUCGCAGUUCCCGAAGGCGUCGUUCCCGUUUUCAUGACAAUUAGCUCAUUAGUGAAAAGUGAAAGUAUUGAAAGAAAAGUGAUAGAGAUGCUGGAAAUUAAGGUAGUAACAUUGAUAAGUUACAUGUGGAUCGGAUCUUGUAACAUAUGUAAAUAGAUCUGCUGGUUAGACCUGAAUUUUUUUGUUUGACUGGUUAUAUGGUGACUGAAUUUGUUAUUGGGAUGAUACCUUUGAAUUCGAAAUUGAUUGUUAAUUUGCAAAAAAAA